rnacentral:snoRNA from 1 species
AUACCCUUUUCAGGUUGAUACAGUGCCUUAAGAGGCUAACACAGGAAGAUAAAGGAAGCUUCUGUAAAACCCAAAGGUGUAUCUGUCACUGCAAAAUGGAACUUUAAAA